CCUACGGGAGGCAGCAGUGAGGAAUAUUGGUCAAUGGGCUUACGCCUGAACCAGCCAAGUCGCGUGAGGGAAGACUGCCCUAUGGGUUGUAAACCUCUUUUGUAAGGGAGCAACGCCGGCUACGUGUAGCCGGUCUUAGAGUCCCUGAAGAAAAAGCAUCGGCUAACUCCGUGCAAGCAGCCGCGGUAAUACGGAGGCUGCGAGCGUUAUCCGGAUUUAUUGGGUUUAAAGGGUGCGUAGGCGGAAUGCCAAGUCAGCGGUAAACUCUAGGGGCUCAACCUCGCUCCGCAGUUGAGACUGGCGUUCUUGAGUGGGCGAGAGGUAUGCGGAAUGCGUGGUGUAGCGGUGAAAUGCAUAGAUAUCACGAAGAACUCCGAUUGCGAAGGCAGCAUACCGGCGCCCAACUGACGCUGAAGCACGAAAGCGUGGGUAUCGAACAGGAUUAGAUACCCCUGUAGUC
rnacentral:rRNA from 1 species